UACGGGGGGUGCAAGCGUUGUUCGGAAUCAUUGGGCGUAAAGCGGGUGUAGGCGGUCUGGAGGGUCAGGUGUGAAAGCCCGGGGCUCAACCUCGGAACUGCGCUUGAAACCGCCAGACUUGAGUACGAGAGAGGAUCGUGGAAUUGCAGGUGUAGAGGUGAAAUUCGUAGAUAUCUGCAAGAACGCCGGUGGCGAAGGCGACGGUCUGGAUCGAUACUGACGCUCAGACCCGAAAGCGUGGGGAGCAAACAGG
rnacentral:rRNA from 1 species